UCUUCAAUCUUGUAUCUUCAUAGUCCAGGAGUCCGGCUGAAGGUAUAGUCCGGCCAUCCGGACACCCCCUAAUCCAGGACUCCCUCAGCGCUGAUAGCGCGAUGUGAAUCCACAGAAGGUGAGGUGACUGCAGCGGGUUAUAAAUGGUCCCGUAUGAGCCGUGUCAGCAACUCGGCCAAUGGUUCCUUCCAACUGGCUGUUUGAAGUUAACCAAACCGUAGUGGCGGCGACUUGUGCACCUACCCAUUGAGCCAUCCAGUGCAGACGGCGGCUGAUAAGACAUGAUAACUUGCCUCCAAUUUGUUGGAAGAAAACCGGACUACCUAAGCAGUGACUUGCUCAUACUCAAUAAACAGCUCAUGCGGAUAGGUGCGGCCCGGCAUGUUGAUGUAGACCAGGCCGCGAGAGACGGCCAUGGCGUUGUAAGCCGAUGCAAUCGCGAGAGAGCCGGCCGUGGCGUUGUAAACCUCGCGGACGGUAAGUCAAUCGCGGGUGUGUUCCCGGCGAGUCGAUGUAGAUCAAGCUGUAUGGGCGAUGGCAUGUACACACCCGUUCAACAGUAAGUGGGCGCGGAUGCCGGUGCAUGAUGAUGCUAACACACACUCCAUAGGCACAGCAUGGCACCACCUUCGUAAUGAAUCAUUAUCAUGCACAAAAUAUAUUGCGAACAAGGAUAACUGUUCUUAAACAAUUCAAUACAUACUUGAUAAAAUACAUAGAAAAGAUAGCACCUGAUAUUUUUGUGGGAUGAAUCGGAUACUAGGGAUAAAAAACAUAUUCUUAUAGGGAUAAAAAACAUAUUCUUAUGUGGCCCUAGCACCGUAUCCGAUGUCCUUUGUGCGAUGAUAAACCAGUUGCAACACUCGUAUUUGUAGCCCUAGAAGCUGAUCUGAGGCUUAUCUCUUUAUCCACCGGGUCAACUCCUCCUUUCUUUUUCUUGUCAACACGAGCGGAGCAAUGUGAAGCAUAGAGCCGAGCAGCACGGCAGGGCGACAGGGAGGCGACUUAGCGAGUGAGGCAUGGAGCAGGAGUAGGGGCGGCUCAACGAGGCGGAGCAAGGCCAAGGCGGCUCAUUACGCGGCCGGUGAAGGCGGCUUGCUGAGGCCCUAGGCGGUUUUGAAGCGAAUCAAGGCGAGCGCGAGCCGGCAAAGGCAUCCGCGACAAGGCGGGCGCUCGGAGCGAAGAGACGCUAGCGAGUCAGCUCGGGGGUGCGGGCAGAGCGCGCAGGCCCAAUGGGGCCGCAAUGGUGGAAACGACGGCUCAGCACAGACCGUCGGAGGCGGCUGUGUCAGUGGAGACAGGCCGGCCAGGUGGCUUACCGCGGAGGCGAGGCGGCUCACCGACGUCGGAUUAAGGCGGAAUGUGGACAGGCCGACCCGAGAAGCGGCGGCUUGACGCCGUCCACAAGGGAGGCAAAGUGUGAGGGCAACGGCAGCUCGGCAGUGCGGCCGGCUCAAAGCACGAUGGGUUAGGCGACAUCGGACGGGGCGAGCUGCGGUACUGACCGGGCCGUGGAGGUGAGACCGAGGCGGUUCACAGGCGGAGUUCGGCGGCUCUACGUCCAGGGCUUGAGGGAUUCUGCCCCGUCCAAACCCCUUUUUCUUCCUUCUUGAGCACUUGAGGUAUGGCGGUUCACCACCGUAGUUGAGAUGGACAGCUGCUCACAGGCGCAGUCGGGGCCCUCGGACGGCGGCGGCUCAUCAUCGGCGUAGGAAGGCUGGCUUGGUUCCAACCACGAUUGAGAUGGCGGUUUGGCCACUGCGCGGGACACGACAGCAGGAGCGGCGACUCGUGGGUGAGGCCGUGGCUCUUGGCGGCUCACAGAUGUCCGGCAGAGGCGGCUCACGGAGAGGGUGGAUUGGAGGCGAUGCCGACGAGGCCGGCGGCGUCUCAUAGGUGCUCGACGUCCGACGGCACAAUACGGCGGCUCGCGCUGCAAGGCGACCUGCGGUAGGGGCGGCUCGGGCGCGCGGCAGGGCUUCAAGACGGAAGCGAGGCCGUGGACGCAGGCCCUGACAGCAGCUCAGGACAGCGAGGCAGUCGGCGUGGCGACUCACCCGUGGCGGCUCAACGGGUACAUGCCGGAGGUACGGGGCGACUCAGCGCGGCCCCGACAGCUCAACGGCAGGGGCUCGCGGCGGUAGUUAAAACUGCUCCGGAGGCAGAUACAGCUCGAUGCAGAGACACUAAGGCCAUCUCGCGUGCCGGUGGUGAUUUAAAUCCGGCCUUCAGUCCAUGACAGCGAUUUGGAUUGAGAUGGGUUUGAGGUUGGUUCCAGGCAGAGGAGCCAAUUCAGAGGCGGCUUGAAUCGUGCAUCCCAACGAGGGCGGUUCAUUGUAAUGGACGACGGCGGUGGCCGGAAACUUGCAGAGCCGGGCGGCUUGAGACCAUAGCGGGGUCGGCCUGAUGCGACCACGCAGGAAGGGCGCAACAGAGGUGCGGCCUUCUUGGAAGCGAGGCGCUCAAGCGGCGGGUCGGAACAGAAUCAAGUAGCAAAAAGGGGCGUCGGCGCUGAUGUAAUAAUCGAGCACAAAAACUGACGCAGUACUAGUACUCAAUUAGCACUAGCAGUUGCACGUGAAUAUCAGCAUGACUUGGCUCCGUUUUUUUGUGAUAA